rnacentral:rRNA from 1 species
GAUGAACGCUGGCGGCGUGCCUAAUACAUGCAAGUCGAGCGAACAGACGAGGAGCUUGCUCCUCUGACGUUAGCGGCGGACGGGUGAGUAACACGUGGAUAACCUACCUAUAAGACUGGGAUAACUUCGGGAAACCGGAGCUAAUACCGGAUAACAUGUUGAACCGCAUGGUUCAACAGUGAAAGACGGUCUUGCUGUCACUUAUAGAUGGAUCCGCGCCGCAUUAGCUAGUUGGUAAGGUAACGGCUUACCAAGGCAACGAUGCGUAGCCGACCUGAGAGGGAGAUCGGCCACACUGGAACUGAGACACGGUCCAGACUCCUACGGGAGGCAGCAGUAGGGAAUCUUCCGCAAUGGGCGAAAGCCUGACGGAGCAACGCCGCGUGAGUGAAGAAGGUCUUCGGAUCGUAAAACUCUGUUAUUAGGGAAGAACAAAUGUGUAAGUAACUAUGCACGUCUUGACGGUACCUAAUCAGAAAGCCACGGCUAACUACGUG